AGGAGAAAUGUGGAAAAAAGAUAAGAAAAAAUGUAUUCCACAAAUGUUUCUUCUGUAUCAUGAUGCUUAACAUGUAUUUUAUUUAUUUUAAUGUUCUUCAGAAAAGAAAAAGAGAUUCCUUGGAAAGGAAGGGAGACACCUCUGCUCUUGGAGCCACUGGGAGAGAAGUUGCCAGAGCACAAGGGCAGGCUGGAAGGGGAGCCUAGCGACAAGAGAAUUUGCAGCACACUGGAGAUCACUGAGAAUGGGGGACAGACAACCUGCCAAAAGUGCAAGCUGACAAAGAGGCUUUUCCUGGUGCUUGGAAGACCAUGCAGUCUGCCAAAACCCAGAAAGUGACUGAGUUGGAUUUCAGCCAAGCCCUCCAAAAAAGCUUUAUCCACCAAGAACACAACACGAAGUCCACCUGUCCUGAAACGAGGAGGCCACAGGCACCCUGGGAUGGCUGGCAUUCCUUCAGGGCCUCACCUGGCAGAACAUGGUGUGUGUGUGAAGGACUGAAGCUGUGGCCAGCAAUCAGGCUGCCAUCAGCUUCUCCCCUGCCUUGGGGAGCUCCUUCAUCCCGAGCUGCCCCUCUGGAAGAGCCUGGCACGGAGCAAGUGUCCUCACUGCGUGUCUGCUGGAAGGUCCAGGAUUGUUUUGUUGCUACAGAAGGCGUGAAAGCAGGUACAUGGUUGUGUGACUGCGUGACGUUGCCACCAGCUCUUCAGCGGCACUGGGAGACCUUGGGGCUACAGACUUAAAAGCUCUGGAUUUUGAUUUACUCCAAAUGAAAGUAAACAAGCUUCAGAGUAAGUAAGAAUCAGACCUCGAAUCCCACUAGGUUUGGCCCUCUCACAAGGAAUUUCCAUGCUUAUGUAGCAUGUUCUUCUGCCUCGUUCUUCUCACUUAAAUUCUAUUUCACAAUCCUAUGUGCCAGUGCAUUUUAGACCUCUCGCACAUCUGAUCUCUCUUAUCUUACUUUCAUUUUGCAAAGUAGUAGUUCACUAUGUUCACUUUCUAACGGUUUAAACAAGGAAACUCUAAGGUGUAGAAAGGCUAAGAUCACAAUCCUCAAAAGUUUAUUUGUAACUCUCAUCCUAUUUUUCUACCUCAUUCUGUAUUCAACACCUUUUCUUUCUUGUUACAUUUGUCUUUGAUCCUGGCUCAAGUCUCUCACAGUCUGUUUUACUUGGCUGUGAAGAACCAUGCCCAUAUGUAGCAUUGAGGCUGAAAGAAACUACAGAGCUGUAACUGGAGUGGGGCUGGAGAGGGGCUGCCAAAGCAAACUUAGUGCUGCCAAAAGAAUUCUCUUCUGAAGAAUAUUGCGUUUCUCGAUAGUGCCUGGUUUAUAGCUCAAACUAGGGUUAAGAAUAGCAUUGAAAGUCUGAAAUGCAGAUGGGAUGGGGCUAAAGAAGGUUUGGCAAAGGCGAAAUAAGUCUGACAAGAUAGUUUUUCUCCUAGUAAAAUAUUACUAGGGUCUGGACUGAACAGUGCCACUGACCUUUAGCUCAGCCUAGGGUUUAGGGUCAGGGCUGGUGGAAAGACCAGAGCUCCAGCUGGAGCAGAGCUGCCAAAGAAAAACAAUGGCUGCAAAGAGAUUAUCCCCCAGGACUCUUGCCAGAGUCCAGGCAAGUGCUGCAGUGGCUUUUUAGGGCUCAAUUAGGUUUAGGGUUAAGCUUGGAAAAAAAUCUCAAGGCUCCAGCUGGGCUGAGGCUGGAAAGAAGCUGCCAAUGGAGAAUUAGUUCAUCCAAAAGUUUACCCGCAGGGAAUGUGUAAUCUCUAGAUGGGCUGGAGUGCCCUUGCAAGGCCCUGCAUUGAGCAGAACUAGGAUUAGGGCUGGAAACAUGCAUUCCUCCAGGCCCUGGAGCGUGUCCAGGGCAGGGCUAUGGAGCUGGUGCAGGGCCUGGAGCACAAGGCCUGCGAGAAGCGGCUGAGGGAGCUGGGGGUGGUUGCUCUGGAGGAGGCUCAGGGGAGACCUCAUUGCUCUCUGCAGCUGCCUGAAAGGAGGUGUGGGGAGCUGGGGUCGGCCUCCUCUCACAGGUAACUGGUGAUAGGAUCAGAGGGAAUGGCCUCAAGCUGUGCCAGGGGAGGUUCAGGUUGGCAAUGAGGAGACAUUUCUGUCAGAAAGAGCGGCCAGGCACUGGGACGGGUUGCCCAGAGAGGUGGUGGCGUCACCGUCCUGGUGGGUGUUGGAGGAAAGGUGGGACGUGGUGCUUAGGGACAUGGUUUGGUGGUGACACUGGUCGUACAGUGCUGGUUGGGCCAGAUGGUCUGGGAGGGCUUUCCCAACCUUUACGAUUCUAUGAUUUCUCUAAUGCACUUUCUCAAAUUUCUCGCUCGUUUACUUUCACAGAGCUAACGCCCUCUGCCGGCACACGGCGGCACCUGCCGGGGCCAGCGGGGCCGGGAGCGCUGCCCGCGGGGACCCCCGGGCUCCGUGAGGCGCCGCGGGGCGGGGCCCGCCCUCAAAAUGGCGCCGCCCUCAAAAUGGC
ensembl:lncRNA